CAGCAGCCGCGGUAAUACAGAGGGUGCGAGCGUUAAUCGGAUUUACUGGGCGUAAAGCGUGCGUAGGCGGCUUCUUAAGUCGGAUGUGAAAUCCCUGAGCUUAACUUAGGAAUUGCAUUCGAUACUGGGAAGCUAGAGUAUGGGAGAGGAUGGUAGAAUUCCAGGUGUAGCGGUGAAAUGCGUAGAGAUCUGGAGGAAUACCGAUGGCGAAGGCAGCCAUCUGGCCUAAUACUGACGCUGAGGUACGAAAGCAUGGGGAGCAAACAGGAUUGGAUACCCGUGUAGUCCCUGUCUCUUAUAC
rnacentral:rRNA from 1 species